rnacentral:lncRNA from 1 species
AUUCGACUAACCAGUAGAAGACCCCGGCCCAAACAGGAGGAGAGGACAACUCUUAGGGGCCCAAAUGUGGCAGAAUUAGCUCAGGGAUUGUGAAUUUACAAGCUAUCCAGAGCCUGUUGGCCGGCUGUGAGCAGCUUUGUCGGUAACCAGCAGUUGGCUGGUAGUGUCCUGAGCAAGAAGGGACCUUGAAUUGCUCACUGCCGGCAGCAGCAAAACCUGGGAAGCUGGCAACCCAGACAAAACCUGUUGCUCAGGACCGGUUUGUGCCUUCAACCCGCGGCUGGGACUCUUGGCCAAGAGCAGGCAGUGCCAGUGCAUCCCUGGGACACUGAGGUGUUGAAGAAGAGGAAAAUGCUUUCCUUUAACUAGAACCACAAACAAAC